rnacentral:rRNA from 1 species
UACGUAGGGUGCGAGCGUUAAUCGGAAUUACUGGGCGUAAAGCGUGCGCAGGCGGUUCUGCAAGUCAGAUGUGAAAUCCCCGGGCUUAACCUGGGAACUGCGUUUGAAACUACGGAGCUAGAGUGCGGCAGAGGGGGGUGGAAUUCCACGUGUAGCAGUGAAAUUCGUAGAUAUUAGGAAGAACACCGGUGGCGAAGGCGGCUCUCUGGAACGGUACUGACGCUGAGACGCGAAAGCGUGAGGAGCAAACAGG